UCCACGAAAAAAUGAAACUUUGAUAGCCUGUAGAGUUUCGGGCGCUGAGUCGAAUGGUCUUGGUCCGAAGUCUCUACGACGAAGCGUUCUUGAGAUAUUUCACUUUGAAAUUGCAAAAACGGGGGCCGCGCCCUGACGUCAUGCGGCCAUUUGGUUACAUCAUCACGGGCUGCCUACGUCAUUGUGGCAAAGUCGUUUCUCUUCGCCAGUCUACAAGCACUAAUUUUAGUUGGUAUUUCAAGGGAAGAUGGGCGAUUCCGAACAAUCCUCUGUCCCCAGCAAUGAAGGCAGCGAUGCUGAGGCCAGUGAGGACGACCAACAGCCCACCGCCGCGUAUGGUUGGGGCAGGGAGCCCAGAUACUCUGCUGAGGAGCUGCCAUCGCGUGUAACAAAUGUGGAGGAAGAAGAUGCGUCAGCAGCUGCGUCCGACAGAAGACGAGUAGCUUGGCCACCAGAAUCUCGAUUCGUUUGGGACUCCGACUGGUGCGAGCGUGGACAAAAGUGUAUAGCCAUGCCCAGCCCGCGGGAAUGAUUUUGCUGGUAGGAUGCUGCCGUCGCUGUCGACAAGACGGCCCAAGGUUUCUUGCGUAGCGGACCUCGCAGAUUACGAGCCCAUGAUCGUAUCCUUGCAUUAGGCUGUGCUCAUCACUGCUCUUCGAGGUUAUCUCGACAUGCAGAAGCCGCCAAUGCCAGUGACAGAAGAGUCUGACAUUAGAUCUCUACGCUAUGCGGCACACAGGCAGUACACACUAUGUACACGGCAAAUUGGGCAAGCACGUUCGUUGUCGUCUUCCAGCCUGCGUUGUGAAUACCAUCAGGCAAAGAUAUCCAAAUCCUGCACCACCUCAGCCUUCUCAGGAGGCUUCCACCUGGAAUUUGGCAGGGAAACACGCUUCUCCAAGGCAGGAACAUGGAGGUUGCCAUUUGCAACCGCUACCACCUCACACAUGAGCUUGUCAACAUACUCAUAGCUCUUUCUGUCGUAUAAUUUUCUAUUUGGCCACAGUCUUCUUUAUGCUUUGAGAACUGGACUUUAUACCUUCC